GACGAACGCUGGCGGCGUGCUUAACACAUGCAAGUCGAACGGAAAGGCCCUGCUCUUGCGGGGUGCUCGAGAGGCGAACGGGUGAGUAACACGCGAGUAACCUGUCCUUGACUUUGGGAUAACUUCAGGAAACUGGGGCUAAUACCGGAUAGGAGCUCCUGCUGCAUGGUGGGGGAUGGAAAGUUUCGGCGGUUGGGGAUGGACUCGCGGCUUAUCAGCUUGUUGGUGGGGUAGUGGCUUACCAAGGCUUUGACGGGUCGCCGGCCUGAGAGGGGGACCGGCCACAUUGGGCCUGCGAUACGGCCCAGACUCCUACGGGAGGCAGCAGUGGGGAAUAUUGCACAAUGGGCGGAAGCCUGAUGCAGCAACGCCGCGUGCGGGAUGACGGCCUUCGGGUUGUAAACCGCUUUCGCCUGUGACGAAGCGUGAGUGACGGUAAUGGGUAAAGAAGCACCGGCUAACUACGUG
rnacentral:rRNA from 1 species